rnacentral:rRNA from 1 species
GACGAACGCUGGCGGCGCGCCUAAUACAUGCAAGUUGAGCGCUGAAGGUUGGUACUUGUACCGACUGGAUGAGCAGCGAACGGGUGAGUAACGCGUGGGGAAUCUGCCUUUGAGCGGGGGACAACAUUUGGAAACGAAUGCUAAUACCGCAUAAAAACUUUAAACACAAGUUUUAAGUUUGAAAGAUGCAAUUGCAUCACUCAAAGAUGAUCCCGCGUUGUAUUAGCUAGUUGGUGAGGUAAAGGCUCACCAAGGCGAUGAUACAUAGCCGACCUGAGAGGGUGAUCGGCCACAUUGAGACUGAGACACGGCCCAAACUCCUACGGGAGGCAGCAGUAGGGAAUCUUCGGCAAUGGACGAAAGUCUGACCGAGCAACGCCGCGGGAGUGAAGAAGGUUGUCGGAUCGUAAAACUCUGUUGGUAGAGAAGAACGUUGGUGAGAGUGGAAAGCUCAUCAAGUGACGGUAACUACCCAGAAAGGGACGGCUAACUACGUG